rnacentral:lncRNA from 1 species
GAAACGAAAAUCAUAUAAUUUUCAAUCGAAAUCGAUUUGAAGGUAAGUACGUGUAAAUCGUGUAAUUAAAAAAAAAAAUAAUAAUAAUAGAAUAACAAGAAAGAAAGAAACGUUGUAGAACGGCUUGUUUUUUCGUCCGGCCAACGGUUCCCACGGCGGUGGAAUAUUAACACGGUCGACCGCGUGUCCGGUGGUGGUAGCCGUGGCGGGCGAGCGAGCGAGAAAAAGUGUCGAGAAACGGUCGCAUUAUGGUGGACGGGGGUGGAGGGAACGAGUGAGAAAGAACGAACGGGUUACGGGAAGCACGCGAGUGUGUGUAUUCGUACUGGCGGGGCGGAGGGUUUGAGAGGGUCGAGAGAGAGAGCCGAAAAAAACCGAAUACGAAAAUCUAAUAACCACCGACGCGCCGCCGAAAAGAAUGACGGAAAAAAAACGGGUAAUAUACAAAAAUAAUAUUGUAGGCGUGCAGACAGACGCGCACACGGUAUUUACCGUGUCGCCGCGACCGUUGCACGGUAAUUCCCGACGGUAUCCCGUCCACACCUGCGCCUGCACUGGCGCACCUGUGCGCGCCGCCACUGCUCCCCCUUCACAAUACAACGGUAAAGCGGUGCGUCGGGGGGUCGCGGUGGAAUAAAUAAAAACAACUAUAAUAAUAAUAAUAAUAAUAUAUGACGGCGACUACUUAGCUGCCUUACGGGCCACGGGUCGCGGUGAAUGAAAUUUAAUUUUUUUUUUCCCGUGUUGGCACAGUGAAUUUUUUACCCACCACAACAACGACCCAUCGAUCAGAAAUUUCCCCCUUCGCCGCGCUAGUGCCUCGGUUAUUAUUAUUAUUAUUGUUUUUUACCACUCCGUAUUUUUUUACCGCCGCGCGACACCGACGACUACACGCCAACAGUCUCAAUAAACGCGCGCGUGCCGUCGUCGACUGAUCGCCACCGCCGACGCCGCAUCUGUCGCCGUCGACUUAACUACGAUAUUAUAUUUAAUUCAUAAUAAUUAAUAUUAUUUAAUUGUGUUCGUCGUUUCGGUUCACCGUGACUUGCCGCCGUUCUACGCGUAUUUCUUAAAUAAUUGAGACGCGUAUCACUAUCAUUAUCGUCUUCGGAAACGAUAUCAACAACAUUGACGACGACUACGACAACGACGAAAACAACAACAACAACAAAAAUAAUAUUAUUCUAUAUAAUAAUAAUAAUAAUAAUAUGUAAAACGGUAUUAUCGGUAUUUUUUGUGUACGUUCCGUCCGGCGAGCCCGAUACAACGUUAUUAUCUGAGCGUGAUAAGACCGUCCGUCCGUGUGCGUGUGCGAGUGUAUUUUUUAAUAAUUUUUUUUUUUACCGUAAUUCCGUUUCGGUUUUUUUUUUUUAUUUCUUCACUCACCGAUUUCUCCGAACUCGAAAUGCGUGUGUGUGGUUUUACGACGACCACGACUGACGAGUGUGUGUACGACCGACGACGUCGGUGCGGCGGCGGCUACACAGCCGAGGGCCGUAAGUGCCCGUGUUGUCGCGCGCGCGCGUGUGGGGGGGGGGGGGGGGGGUGGCAAGCGCGUCGUCGUCAACGCGGCGACGGCCUUUUAUUGAUUUUUCCGUUUUCGCAUGUCGUUCGGUUGUUGUUGUUGAUAAGGAGAGUGAAUUUUUUCUGUCGACGGUCGAUAAAAUUUUUCGCGGGGGGGUUCUCUCCCCCACUGGUUGCGGUUGUCCGUCAAACCGCCGCCGCACCGCCGCCACCUCUUCCGCCGCGGCCGCCUUCACUGCCUCCGGCCGUCGUUCGACGACGACGACGACGACGACGACGACGACCGAUACACGAAAAUAUUUACGGAACCGGAACUAAUGGCAGGAAAAGGCGCACGCACGCACGCAUACUCGACACGCACACGAUGUGUAAACAAACAAACGUACGGAAGACGGUGACCGAAAACGGCGAUGAACACGAACCCCCGUCAUCGAUUCGACGGGGGCGAAAACGACCGAAAAAUUGAUGUAGCCGACGAUGACGACGGAGACGACUUUGACAACAACAAACAACAAUAAGAUGGCAUUGCGGAACGUUGCUAACCGUACCCGAUCGCGUUUCCUGGUCUGCUCAGAUUGCUGCAAGUUCUGGACGAUGGAGGUAAAUAGCGUUUUCCGUGGAGCCCGUUCAGCAGAAAACAUUUGAGUCUGGACGACGUCAUUAUCGUCUCGCCGUUGACUUCUCACCAGAUUGUCAUAAGUUGAUGAGUAUUUAGUUUAUUUGUUGAAAAAAACGGUACUGAUAAAACGGAAUGGAUAAUGAUUAUUUAAAGAAGUAAGUUUUAGUUGUAUGCCCUAUAUUAUUUAUUGACCUAAUUUACUUUAGGUUUUAUAUUAUUAAAACUGAUAAUGGUUACUGAUUAGUGAUUAGUCUUAUAAUGAAAAUAAAUGAUUAUUAUUGUUUUAAAUUAUACAUCCAAACAUAAAUAGAAAAUAAAUUGGUUUAUUAGUAGAAUAAUAUUCGUGAAGAAAUUAUGUGUUACACAAAAGAAACAAAUAUAAUUUCAUCAAAAUAAAUUAUGUACACAUAAAUUAUAGUAAAAAUAUACAAUUAAUUUCAAAAUAAGUAUAUUAAAAAAACAUAAUAGAAAAGUAGUACACUUAUAUCUAAAUAAGGGCCAGUUGUACCACAUCUGAUUAAAGUUGACCGGAGUUUAAUCAGCGAAUUUGCCCGGUUAAAUAUCUGUUAUCAGCUGAUUAAGCUUAAUCGAAGCUUAACUGCAGACGCUACAACUGGUCCUAAGUAUUGCAAAAUAUUAAUUUGUGUUAUGAUUGUAAGUCAUAUUAAUUUUAAUACACUUCAUAAAUGCACUGUUCAUAUAUUGUUUAGACUAUAAUAUGUAUCUAAGUAAUUAUAAUUACAUUAAAAUAUGUGUUGCGGUAAGCAUUUCAUAAAUACAAUAAACAUAUUAUAUUAUGUUGUGUUUUGGUAUUGAUGAAACAUAUUUUGUUUAAAUAAGGUGAGCUUAACUUGAUAGAUAAAUAUAAAAAUAAUAUAUAAACAAUAUCAACAAUAAAUUACUGGACAUUUUGAUUUCUCUUACAAUUUUAGUCUACAGCAUUAAAUAUAUCAAAAUAUUAAUUUGUUUAAUAUGUUGUGUGGAAUAUUUAUUGGAAAUUCAAUAAUUUAAAUCUUUGUUUUUGUAAUAGGUAUGAUUUUUAACUAUGUUAAAGGUAUUAUAAAAUAGUUAAAUUUUUAACUAUAAAAUUGUAAAUAAUAUUAUGAAUGAUAUUUGAUAUAUUUGGAAACAUUACUUAAUAGAACAAUUUUUUCAAAUC